rnacentral:rRNA from 1 species
GACGAACGCUGGCGGCGUGCUUAAUACAUGCAAGUCGAACGGAGAGGCGCCAGCUUGCUGGCGUACUCGAGUGGCGAACGGGUGAGUAAAACGCGGGUAAUCCGCACUGCACUCUGGGAUAAGACUGGGAAACAGGGUAUAUUACUGGAUAUGAUCUUUCUCCCUAUGGGGUUUGGUGGAAAGAUGCUCGGUGUAGGAUGCUCACGCGGCCUAUCAGCUUGUUGGAGGGGUGAUGGAAUACCAAGGCGACGACGGGUAGCCGGCCUGAGCGGGUGAUCGGGCACAAGAGGACUACGAGACGCACCAGACGCCUACGGGAGGCAGCGGUGGGAAGUCUGACGCAAUAGGCGGGAGCGAGAGACGGCGGCGCCGCGUGAGGAAUGACGGCCUUCGGGGGAAAAACCUCUUUCAGCGGAGACAAGGCGUAAGUGACGGUACCUGCAGAGAAAGCACCGGCUAACUAUGUG